UGGGGAAUAUUGCACAAUGGGCGAAAGCCUGACGGAGCGACACCGCGUGCAGGACGAAGGCCCUCGGGUUGUAAACUGCUGUCACGCUCUAGGAAUCCCGUGUUGUGAAUAGCAGCACGGUUGACUAAGGCGAGAGGAAGUGGCGGCCAACUCUGUGCCAGCAGCCGCGGUAAGACAGAGGCCACGAACGUUGUUCGGAAUCACUGGGCAUAAAGCGCACGUAGGCGGCUAGGUCCGUCCGAUGUGAAAGCCCCCGGCUCAACCGGGGAAUAGCAUCGGAUACAGCCUGGCUUGAGGACGGUUGGGGUGAGUGGAACUCCUGGUGGAGCGGUGAAAUGCGUAGAUAUCAGGAGGAACACCGGUGGCGAAAGCGGCUCACUGGACCGUUACUGACGCUGAGGUGCGAAAGCUAGGGGAGCAAACGGGAUUAGAUACCCCCGUAGUCCCUGAGCGGGCUGGCAAG
rnacentral:rRNA from 1 species